rnacentral:rRNA from 1 species
AGUCGAGGGGCAGCGGGGAUAAAGCUUGCUUUAUCUGCCGGCGACCCGCUCACGGGUGAGUAACACGUAUGCAACCUGCCCUUUGCAGGGGGAUAACCGGAAGAAAUUCCGACUAAUACCGCAUAAUACUUUCCGGAGACAUCUCCGGGGAUUCAAAGGAAGCAAUUCCGGCAAAGGAUGGGCAUGCGUCGCAUUAGCUAGUCGGCGGGGUAACGGCCCACCGAGGCGACGAUGCGUAGGGGUUCUGAGAGGAAGGUCCCCCACACUGGUACUGAGACACGGCCCAAACUCCUACGGGAGGCAGCAGUGGGGAAUAUUGCACAAUGGGGGAAACCCUGAUGCAGCGACGCCGCGUGAGUGAAGAAGUAUUUCGGUACGUAAAGCUCUAUCAGCAGGGAAGAAAAUGACGGUACCUGACUAAGAAGCCCCGGCUAACUACGUGCCAGCAGCCGCGGUAAUACGUAGGGGGCAAGCGUUAUCCGGAUUUACUGGGUGUAAAGGGAGCGUAGACGGCAGCGCAAGUCUGGAGUGAAAUGCCGGGGCCCAACCCCGGAACUGCUUUGGAAACUGUGCAGCUUGAGUGCGGGAGAGGUAAGUGGAAUUCCUAGUGUAGCGGUGAAAUGCGUAGAUAUUAGGAGGAACACCAGUGGCGAAGGCGGCUUACUGGACCGUAACUGACGUUGAGGCUCGAAAGC